rnacentral:lncRNA from 1 species
GAUAUAUUGAUAUGUUGUAUUGAGUAUACUUAUUCAAUUAUUAUUUAAAUAAUUUUAAGGUUUUAAACUUAAAAUGGAUGAAGAUUAUAAUGGCUUUUCAAAUUUUGAUGUUAAUUAUUUGAUCAUUACAAUUUUGGAUUUAUUAGAAUAAAUUUGUUUAUGAUAUGGCUUAAGAAAGAAUUACAUCAUACAAGAAAUAAGU